CUUCCAGUAGCACCUUAGAGACCAACUAAGUUUGUUAUUGGUAUGAGCUUUCAUGUGCCAGUAACAAACUUAGUUGGUCUUAGUUGGUCUCUAAGGUGCUACUGGAAG